rnacentral:rRNA from 1 species
GACGAACCGGGCGAACGUUGUUCGGAAUAACUGGGCUUAAAGGGCGCGUAGGCGGGCCGCCAAGUCCGAGGUGAAAUCCUCCGGCUCAACCGGAGAACUGCCUCGGAUACUGGAGGCCUGGAGGGGGGUAGGGGCACGCGGAACUGUGGGUGGAGCGGUGAAAUGCGUUGAUAUCCACAGGAACUCCGGUGGCGAAGGCGGCGUGCUGGACCCCACCUGACGCUGAGGCGCGAAAGCCAGGGGAGCAAACGGG